AUUGAACGCUGGCGGCAUGCCUUACACAUGCAAGUCGAACGGUAACAGGUCUUCGGACGCUGACGAGUGGCGAACGGGUGAGUAAUACAUCGGAACGUGCCCAGUCGUGGGGGAUAACUACUCGAAAGAGUAGCUAAUACCGCAUACGAUCUGAGGAUGGAAGCGGGGGACCUUCGGGCCUCGCGCGAUUGGAUGUGCCCAGAUGGGAUUAGCUUGUUGGUGGGGUAACGGCUCACCAAGGCGACGAUCCCUAGCUGGUCUGAGAGGAUGACCAGCCACACUGGAACUGAGACACGGUCCAG
rnacentral:rRNA from 1 species